rnacentral:rRNA from 1 species
AUAUAUCGGUUAUGGAUGAGCUUGCGGGGUAUUAGGUAGUUGGUGUGGUAAUGGCGCACCAAGCCCAAGAUGCCUAGCCGGUUUGAGAGAACGAUCGGCCACACUGGGACUGAGACACGGCCCAGACGCUUACGAGCGGCAGCAGUGGGGAAUAUUGGACAAUGGGCGAAAGCCUGAUCCAGUGAUAUCGCUUUGGGGAUGACG